CUGUCUUAUGUAGUCUUGAUGGCUUUGUUGUAGUAUGCUGGCGUUCAUACGUAUUCCUAGGAUGACCUCCUCUGCUGAUGGGAUGUAGAUCAUCACAGGAAAUGUCUGUGGUUACACUCGUCUCUCAGUAGAGAAGCAACUAUCCUUCCACAUGUUUUGGACCCACGUUUGGUUGAAUCCAUGGAUGCAGAGCCGUGGACAUGGAGGGCAGGUGGUGCGUGGACACCCCUGUGGGUUAGACAUUGUUCCAGUUUUACCAGAAAUUUUGACGAACACAGUCCCUGUCCUGCCUUGGCAGACCUCUGGCAGGCACUUUGUGCUUCUCAUUUCACCUCCUGCAGCUUGCCGGCAGAACCUUCUCCUCCGUCAGCAGGUGUCUGUCACCGUGGAACAUCCGUGACCAAGCAGGCUUCUGGACCUGGCUGUUCUGAGCAAAGCCAAGUCAUCGCUAUGUUAAUGUUCUCUCAGGUAAGUGGAUGCCGA